rnacentral:piRNA from 1 species
UAUCGACUAUGAGCAUCUUGCACGAUC